rnacentral:lncRNA from 1 species
UCUUCCAGCCACCUUGUACCCAUUUCAAGCCCAAGGGCUCUUUAAUGAAAAUGAGUUACUGAGCAGUUUUUUCUCCAGGGAAAAUGGCUUUUCAUGACAGUUUGAGUAUUGCACAUGAAGCAUCUAGCAAAGCCUCAAGCACACAAAAAGAACAGAGAAAGAUCCAGUGCAAAAACUCAUAGGAAAUGAUCAAUUCAUGCCAAGUGAUGAGAACUAGAGAAGAGAGAUGAGAGCAUUGUUCAUACACAAUGGUCUAGGUCUCCUACCCCAAGAGAACUUGCAACAAAGCCCAAAGUACAACAGUCACGUUUAAAGAGAAGAUUCCGUUUCAGCCAGACAAGAUGAUUCAUGAUAUUUAUUUAAUAUUGUUAACUUGAAUUUUAUUAGAUCUGUAGUGAUGUUUGUAUUGAUUUCUAAUUUGUUUUGGUUUCAUAAUUGACUAAAACAAUAAGCACAAACAGUUUCUAUCUGACUCUAUGUUUAUAUAUUCACAUUUUAAUAAAAGUCUUUUAUAUACUCA